UUCAUUUUGGAGUGCUUGCAGUAAUGUUAGGAGGAGGAGCUGUUGUAGUCACGAGUCUUUGAUUCCUAAAGGGCACAUGAGUCUCGUCCAUUUAAAACAGAUAACCUGGGAUUCCCAAAUUGAUUUCUCUUAGGGGCUACCAAAAAAUAUAAAGAACGAUCUGCUGUAGUUGCUAUCUGAUUGUAGUCUUCCGUCUUGGCCACAUUGAUAUCUGCGGUUCUCGAUACCAGAGGUUCAGCAACACAUUUAUUGCUUGAUAAAAUUACAGUUCCCCAUUGUUAUUAGUUAAACAAUUCAGUAUACAGUAAUCCAUCGCAUAUCUGACUGCGAAGGGACCAGAGUAAGGGCGGAUAUGUAAAAAGUCUGAUGUUGAAAUAAUGUUUUAAAUACCAUUAUACACAGCUGUAACGAUUACUAUAGUCACACAAUUAUUGAGAUUCAGCUUUUAUAUUAGAGUAUUAAUGCUUGUGACAGAGUAGCCGUCUGCCAUGUGAGUGCGUGCAUUCACUGCUGAGUGACAGGCAGGAGAUCGAGACAGAGGUUGAAGUUGAUAUGCCAAGCAGGCAAACAGGAUUUAUGUACAUAUGAAACCACUGAACAGCUCAUAUGACACUACCAGCAAUGACAACGCACGGAGCACAUACAACACAGUGUAUGAAGACUUUGGUAGGAUCUACAAUAUCUAAACUAAUCUUCUCUUCUAUAAUAAAGUAACAUUGCUGAAGAGGUUGAUCGUGGCAGAUAAACGGUUUGGGCGGAUUUGUGACGGGCGGAUAUGUGACGGAUUACUGUAUCCAUUAGGUUCAUCCAACUCGGUUUACAAUCGCUUUGUUACAAAUGGACGCAUUGAGCUUUUCUGUUUUCUGAACUGUAUGUGGUUUACAUUAUUUUAUAUGAAUGGUGGUGAUUUGUUUCCCAAACUGCAAACAUGAUUGUUUCAGCCUAUCACGAAAGGCCUUGGGGAGAUGUACCUUAUUAAUGAAAAGAGAAGGUUGUCUAUGUUGUAAACCAUUGACUUGUCUAUUUUAAAUUCUCUUUUUCCUUUAAGCAUAUACUUCAGUGUUAUCUGUCCCCACGGCUCAAUUAAGAGGUAGCUCUAUUGUAUCGACAAUCCCAAGUGAGAGAAUGAUAAAUCUGAGUGAGCACAGGCUUCUGCAUCUCGAUUAACUGAGAGACGGCAGUCAGACCACCGUGGUGUAAUGGUGCUUCAGCUAUUCCCAAGCCUUACCUAAUGUGAAGAGACACAUGUUCUUUAUUGAGGAAUUCAAAACCCUUUCCUUAUUAGAAGUUAGUGUGCUGAACUGGGUUGCUUUAUGAAGUUGUCCGAGUACUGUAGUAAAUAUAAGUUUGAUAUAUUGGUUGCCAAUGACCACCUUGUUGCGUUUGUCUGAAUUACUACCCUUUAAAUUAUUUACUUUUAAAUCUAAUGGUAUUUGUAUGUAACAGGAAUAUAGUAUUGUGAUUCUAAUAAGGGAAUGGGUUGAUAACCCUAAAAUCAAUAUAAAUAAAGACCCACUGCAACAGCUAUCCCUUAAGUACAAACUAGAGGCUCUCCAAAAUAAUUCAGUUUGUUUGUUUAUAAUGGUUGUAAAAUGUACAUAAACAGCUCAGGCACUAAAUCAUUACAUUGAGAGCUGCAGUAUUUCAGGGUGUGACAGCGCCUAGCUGUGUGAUCUGUGAAAGAUACUGUAGCAACAACAGAGAAGACCAUGCUGGGAAAAAAAAGCUCUUAGAGGUCACCUUGCAGAGAAAAAGCUAAUAUGAAAAAAGUGGAUUUUACGGUUUAUUGUAAGGUUUACUUUUUUCUGUGCUUUGGUUUGUUGAAACCAACUCAGACGGUUUUAACAAUUAAACCUCAAACACAGAACACUGGCAACUUAUUACCAGCUCUAAUUAAAUCCAGACUUUGUAUAUUCCAAAGAAAAUAGAAACAACGUCAGAAUUCAAACGUUAGACACAGUAUGGUGGGAGCAGGAAAAUGUAUAAUACAUAAAAACAAAACGAUAACAAAAUCAUUUAUAGCAUUAGAAAAAUCUAUUGCCUAGUGCAGAGAUUUAAAUGAUAGAGAUACUCACAAGUGUAUGAAUUUAGACAUGCUUUUCCUUAUAUAACAUCCAUUCACUUUUAUAUAUAUAUAUUAUUUUUUCUCUCUUUGGCUAAUGAUCUGAACCUACACAUACUAAAUGUAUGUGGUUCAAACCAGUAUGGGGUCUAGCUGCUGCUCAGAAAGCACAGCUAUUACCGGUACUGAAAGUGGUAGACCACACUAUGAAUUAAAUCUGCAUGGCACUCUUAGUAUAAUGUUGUACAGUAUCUGCCAAAGGUUGAAUGCAAAAUAGCAAAUUAUAGGUCUUUAACAAAAUUCUUAGGCAUUUAUCAAAACAUUUAGCCUAAUACAUAGGCUUUAAAUGAUCUAGAAUUUUUCUUACACACUGUAUUUAAAAAAAAAACAAACUGUAAAUAUUCUUUCAUUCAGUUGACUAAAAAAUGCAGACUGUAUAGCAAUCUUUACGAUACCAUUGGAAUUCAAGUCAACGAUUUAUAGUCUGUAAACACUUAAUGCAACAGACAAUAUGGGACAAAUUCUCUCUUCAUAGUUGUGAGACUGUAGGCAGCAGACCUUUGUGGUUUACAGUAUCCAUAAAGAUAACUGCAUUUUCAAGAUUACGUAGUCAUUUAGUGGUACAGUUAAAAUAAUCAAUAUUAAACUGUUUCAGCAUCAUCAGUUCUCUUGGAGUGAGACAGGCUCUGAUUAAUGAAGUGUCAUUAACAAGGGCAUUACUUCAUGACAGAUGCCUUUUAUAUACAUUUGUAUCUAUAUUUAGGUACCUUCAUCUCUGUUUCAUUUGUAAUAGUCCCCACAUUUAUGAAGACAUUCAUCUUUACUCAUUAGGAACCGGUGCUAAAACCCUUUAAAAAUGCCUCAUACUCAGAAGACAGAAAAUCGUUUGACAAGACCUACUAAAACAGCAAAUAAUUACAUUGGAACAACACGUCGCUUUUUUUCAUACGCCUACCAACAAGCUUUUUCAGAACAUUAAUUCAGGACUGCAAUAACUUGUACAUAACUUGUAUGUUUUACUUCUAUAUGUCUAUUUGUAUUUAUUUAUUUAUUUAUUAUAGCUACAAAAUAUAUUUUAGUCAACCAUACUUCUUAUUCUUAUUCUCACCACUGUAAUGUUUUGGCUUUUCUUACUCAGUGAACUUGUGUAUUGGCUACUACUAUUAAAAAAAAAAAAAAUUUAAAGUUACAGAAUAUGCUUUGUGCAUAACUCCUGUACUUUUAAUUAUUUUUUGUUUCACUUAAUGCUGAAAAAUUGUCUAGCAGGAUUCCUUUAAUAGACCUGCUGCACUGUCAGUCAUUCAUUACCUGUGUUUUUAUUUAAAUGAAAUCCAUGGCCAGGGAGGAGAUACUGAACUGCAUCAUACAGUCAAACAUCUACUGGAUUAAAACUGCAGUAACAACUGUAAAGGAUAAUGAGAUCGAAUAAUAAAUCAGUAGGCUUUUGUGUCCUCUGUAGGCUUCCCUGCAAGGUUUUGGACUGUGCAAUUAAACUGGCUUGUUUACGAAGACCUGAAUGCUUUCUAAUAGAGGCACUGGGAGGUGCUGUGUGGAGGCCUCACAAAGCAGACCUGUGGGUGGAUACUGUGGAGAUUUAAUUUGGACUCCCAUGGACCAAGUUUAUCAUCAAAGUACAAAUGGUUCAAAGUUUGGACUUUUUAAAUGUAUGAUUUUUUUGUGCCCAGUUCAUUUUACUGGGAAGACAAACUUGGUUGGUACAAUACUGAACUACAAAGGCAGUUUAUCAUUGGCUGAUAAGCUGUAGAUUAAAAUGUCAGAUAAAAAAUGUACCCAAACAUGUGUCAGGCCAACAUAUAUACACAACAACUAACUUAAAGAUUGCUUUGCAAACUGAGAAUGGAACAUGUCUUUUUUCAACAGAUAGACAUGCAGUAUAUAGAUUGAUUCUAAUAUGACCUUUUUAGUCUGUGUUUGUAAAUAAUAGUUCUAACAACAAAUCUGGUUAACCCUUAAGGCCUGGUCACGCGGGCGACUUUUGUCGAUGGCAACAAGAGGACCACAUUUGUUGCCUGCGUGUUGCCUUGCAGUUUGCGGUCAUCACAUGAGAGACAAGCAUGCAUUCAACAAGCUGGUAACACACAGCAAACAACGUAAUGCAACCCAAUCAUAAUGUGUGCUUUUGUCAGGAGACGUAAACAUGCCGUGAAGGAAGGAUCCUGCUGUUGCUUUAAUAGCAGUGAUAGAUGAGGAAGAGCAGAAAAAAAAUUAAGUUUGGUUCAGCCCUGGGUUAUGAGAAAUGAAGAAAUAUUAUUGAAUCACUUGGUUUUAAACUUGCACAAAAAAAAAAAACCUUUUGGAUUUUUUUUUUUUCUAAAAUGUGUUGAACAAGUAGCCAACUGUUACAAAAAUGCAACCAUUACAACCUUUUCAUUUUUUUUAUCAUGUGAGCAGAAAAUAAUUUUUUUUAUUGUAUUUUGUUUUCAUUUACUAUAAAAAUAAAUAAAUAAUAAAAAAAUAUUGAAACAAAGGAAACACAAAGUAACAGAUGGCCUCCACAGGAACCUUUUAUUUUGUUAUAGGUAAUUAUUUCUCAAACCAAUAAAAAAAAUGCAAAAUAAUCUAUUAGCUUCACUUCUAAAUGAUGCGUCCACAUCACUAUUUAUUAUCAUGUGACACUACUAUCAAAUAUGAUUGGCUAGUAUUGAAAAUGUUGCCCUCGUGUCGCCUGAAAAAUAGAACAUCAUCCUAAAGUGGGAGACACGUCGCCAGUGUGUCGCCAGGGUGUUAACCAGGCCUUUAGACCUCAAAGUGGACAUGAAUAAUUAUAAGCUUAUAUACACUUUACCACAGGGGCAGGUACAUAACAUUAGAAAAGCCUAGCUCUGGAAUGUGCAGCUAGAGUGAACAUUCAUGUCAUGGUCAAGAAAGCUACCACGCUGUGUAGCCUAUUGUGUAAACUCAAUCUGUGGAGAAUGGUAGAGAUAUCUGUGUGUAAAUGUGAGAGGGUGAGAGAGUGACGGGUCUGGGUUGGAAGCGAGUCGUAAAAAUCAGACCCCUGUAGGACUCUAAAGCCACAUUUAUUUAGUUGUCUUUGGAGCUUAUCCUAAAACUACUUUCAGUUUAAAUGAUUUGUUUUAAUGCUGAUGGUAGAUAAUUACAAUUAACAAGCAUUCGAUCCUUCCAAAUGUCUAUCAUGCUGUUAGUUAAAAACAACUGCUCAAAUUGAACAUUAGUCAGUAAGAGCAAUUGAAGACAAGUUCCAGAUUUCAGCCAGGCGCUGCUGAUUUUCAUUUGUCACAUUAGCAUUUUCCUUUAAAAAACAUGGGUUUGAUGUCUGGUUGGGCUAUAAUGGCUAGGUAAGAUUGUAAUCAGGUUACCUACAAAAAUCUAUAUUAAAAUUAUAUAAAAACUGUAUUUAAAAAAAAAACCUGAUUGCUGUACCUUGUGUUCUAAAAUAAUAUUUUAAAAUAAUAAAUCAUCUCUGUUUAUUGACAUAAAAAAGGAUGCAAAGAGCAGGCUGUACAACAAGUGAUACCAGACAACAUAAGCUAUCUUUUUUGUAAAAAAAAUGAUUAAGGUGCUCAUGUCCCAUGCUUCAUUCAUUUUCUUCAUAUAAUUACUUACAUCAUUUUUAAAGAUAAAGUUUAAUAUGUUGUACAUUUAACUACCUCAGCUCGGUUUGUACUACAAAAUAUCCUCCACCCUACUUAAAAAGCUCUAGUUAAAGUGAUAUUUGUGUAGAUUGUGUCGGUCUGUUGAGAACAGGUCUGUUAAAAGUGUGGUAAACUUUCACAUUAUUAUAUGCAGAUUGCAGUUAAAAUGUUACAUUACAGCAAAGGUGCAGUGUAUCUUGCUCAGCGCUUUAGUGCGUCCAAAAACAAAUCAAAAACCAGGAAACCUGCUUUUUUUCUCUCCUUAAGUUAACAAAAAAAAAACAUUUAUUGGUUAGAAAAAAUCAAAAUGAGCUGCUUAAAUAUAUUUAAUUUGCCUUAAAAAAAUACUUCUAUGCUCUUGUUUCUCUCCUGUCUUGCAAACACUGUCAUUGUUGUACCCCUGAUGGCAUGUCAAGUGCUAUAUGAAACAAAGCGAGUUGAUACGUUUUUCAAUUAUUCUAGCGUAAAAUUGUACAGUGAUAUUGAUUGUUUAAAAAGUCAGCAUUUGCUUUGAAUACAGUAAAACAAUGGGAUACUACAUGGUUGUUGGCAGUAAUAUGGUGCUUGUUUUUCCCAAUCCCCUUCAAUUGGCCAAAAGUAAAGACAGAAUUUGGCACCGUUAGACUACCGUAAAUGGCUGUUAGUGAAAAGCAGGUCUUUGCGAAUGAUGUCAGAAAUGCUGGUCUGUGUCAUGCAUCUCCGUUCAGCUAGUGGCACACAGACAAUUAUUAAUGAGCUGCGUUUCCGUGGUGCCAGUCAUGGGGGCCUUGAGGAAGUACUGUAGCUGUCCAUAUGAAAAAGAAAAUACUAUAAUUCUGCCAAAAUUCCUUUCGUAAUAAUGUAUCUGUUGCUGUACUUCAAUACUGUAUAGACAGUGCACAGUGGUGACAUUUCAGUAGUAUGUUUGCAAACUGCCCAUUAAUGUGUCCAAUAGUUGUCUUGAUGCAUUGUAAGCUUUUAAAGAAAUGAAAUGUUGCUCAGGGGAAGAGCAGCCUGGAUACAGGAUGUCCCUCUGAGGAAUCUUCCUUUCUUUGGUGUGAAAUGUAUGGCAGUUUUUUGUAUAGAAGUAGAAUUCACCCCAGCUACAGUAUGAUGAUUAUUAUAUACAUCUUGUCUGAGGUAGUACAAGCACAGUAACUUAAACAAAUGGUAACAAUGGCAGUAAUUUGUAAACAUAAUGUACAAAUGUACUUGUUAUUUUUAUUUGCAAUGGAAAAUUAAAAAUAGUUAUUUGACAAAUAUUUGAACUGUAUAUAAAUGUAUGCAAAUUUCCAUGUUGAAAACAUUCCUUUCAGAGUGCUGAUUGUAAAGGAUGUCUGUAUUGGCUAGAGAAUGCCGAAACAAUGAGACGGCAGAUACAUAUGAUAUAGUAAAGAUCAAACUAGUGUUGUGUAUGUGAUGUAUUAAAAAACAAAUACCUUGGUUAUUUUUGGUCUAUUGAGUAAGUUGCAUUUUGUGAUGAAAGUAUGAAAUUGUGCUUAAAACAUUGGUUAAACUUACUUUUAUUGUAAAAUUAAACUUUAAAAAAAUGACCUUGAGAUUUUGUAUAUCUUGGAUUUUUGUAAAUUUAUUUUAUUUUACUGCAACACAAGGUACCAAAUUCAUUAAAUAAAGUACACUGUGGUCAUUUUA